UUAAGAACAUUCAUCCUCAAAUGUUUAGCCAUACAUGUAUACACAUAGAAUACACAUAAAAAAGACACAUAAAACCAUCUAACAACUUACUUCAAAAGAUAUGAGAAUAAUGCCUAAGCAUCGACUCUCUUAUCUCUCAGGUACGCUCUUCUAUAUUGUUGUGAUUUCAUAAAAUUUUUACCAUCGCAAUUUUCUUAUUUCUCAACUUUCUAAUUUGUGUGUCUAAAAUUCAUAUUG
rnacentral:lncRNA from 1 species